GGAACUUCUUGUGGUUCUAAUUCUAAAUAUAUAUAUAUCAGGAAGUUUGAGGAGGGUAGUCUUUCUCCAUCAUACAAAGUGAUAAAUUCCUUCCUAGUAAUUCAAACUUGUGAUUUCCAAAUUGGGAUCUCUCUGUUCAUGUUAGGAUGCAUGAUCUUUAAAUUGAAGUCUCAUAUUUAAUCACUGUACUAUCCAUACAAAGGCGCACAGAUAUUUCUUACGGGCUU
rnacentral:misc_RNA from 1 species